CAGCCACCAAUCGAUUAGAUCUUCCUCCAGAUCUGAGUCUAAACCUUUCUGAACCAUCCACUAGACUUGAACACCUUUUUCUAGACCUUUUAAACCCUUAGAGCUAUUAGGAUUAGGCUUGUCUUAAAAGAACAAGCCUUGUCCUAAAACCUAGAGUUGUAAGAGAGGAAGUGGAUAGGGCAUGUAAGAAUUGAACGAUCACCC
rnacentral:lncRNA from 1 species